AUUGAACGCUGGCGGCAUGCUUUACACAUGCAAGUCGAACGGUAACAGGUUAAGCUGACGAGUGGCGAACGGGUGAGUAAUGCAUCGGAACGUGCCCGAUCGUGGGGGAUAACGUAGCGAAAGUUACGCUAAUACCGCAUACGAUCUGAGGAUGAAAGCGGGGGACCGUAAGGCCUCGCGCGAUCGGAGCGGCCGAUGUCAGAUUAGGUAGUUGGGGGGGUAAAGGCCCACCAAGCCGACGAUCUGUAGCUGGUCUGAGAGGACGACCAGCCACACUGGGACUGAGACACGGCCCAGACUCCUACGGGAGGCAGCGGUGGGGAAUUUUGGACAAUGGGCGCAAGCCUGAUCCAGCAAUGCCGCGUGCAGGAAGAAGGCCUUCGGGUUGUAAACUGCUUGUGUACGGAGCGAAAAGGCUCUCUCUAAUACAGGGGGCUCAUGACGGUACCGUAAGAAUAAGCACCGGCUAACUACGUGCCAGCCGCCGCGGUAAAAC
rnacentral:rRNA from 1 species